rnacentral:rRNA from 1 species
AAUGAACGUUGGCGGCGUGGAUUAGGCAUGCAAGUCGAGCGACGCACUUGCCUUCGGGCGGGUGACGGAGCGGCGAAAGGGAGAGUAACGCGUAGAUACCUACCCUCAGAUCUGGGAUAGCGGCGGGAAACUGCCGGUAAUACCGGAUAAUGUCCCCGGACCAAAGGUUUCGGCCGUCCGAGGAGGGGUCUGCGUCCUAUUAGCUAGUUGGCGGGUAAUGGCCCACCAAGGCAAAGAUGGGUAGCGGGUGUGAGAGCAUGACCCGCCUCACUGGGACUGAGACACUGCCCAGACACCUACGGGAGGCAG